AUUGAACGCUGGCGGCAGGCCUAACACAUGCAAGUCGAACGAGUGGCGGACGGGUGAGUAAUGUCUGGGAAACUGCCUGAUGGAGGGGGAUAACUACUGGAAACGGUAGCUAAUCCCGCAUACCAUAGGAUGGGGCCAGAUGGGACUAGCUAGUUGGUGGGGUAACGGCUCACCAAGGAGACGAUCCCUAGCUGGGCAGAGAGGAUGACCAGCCACACUGGAACUGAGACACGGUCCAGCCGCCUACGGUAGGCAGCAGUGGGGAAUAUUGCACAAUGGGCGCAAGCCUGAUGCAGCCAUGCCGCGUGUAUGAAGAAGGCCUUCGGGUUGUAAAGUACUUUCAGCGGGGAGGCGUUACCCGCAGAAGAAGCACCGGCUAACUCCGUGCCAGCAGCCGCGGUAAUAC
rnacentral:rRNA from 1 species